rnacentral:tRNA from 1 species
GCGAUUUCAGUAGACACUACCCUUUCGAACUACGAACCAGAAGGUCGGGUGUUCGAAUCACCCCGGGCGCACCA